GACUUGCUGGUGAGGCCGGACACAAAGAGCGGGGUCUUCAUCUGGGCGGGCGAUGGGCGAGCGAGUAAGUGAGCGAUGGCAAACAUGGAACGUCAGCAGAUCGGAUCGGAUUAGUGGGCAAAGCACAGGCCCUGUUAGUUGCGGAUUAACCAGCGUGAACAAGGAUAAGUAGUCCCAGGACCAGAGACCGUAAAAACGAAAUACAUAAAAUAAAUAUCGUAACCUAUGCUUUUGUUUUUAGUACACCCAUUAAAACUAAACUUUACUGUAACAACUUGAUCACUGGAUUCUAUAAUAAGGUACAAAUAUUAUCUUCCUCGUUGUAUUUAAAGGCCAA